rnacentral:rRNA from 1 species
GGAGUUUGGGCCGUGUCUCAGUCCCAAUGUGGCCGAUCACUCUCUCAAGUCGGCUACUGAUCGUUGCCUUGGUAGGCCGUUACCCUGCCAACUAGCUAAUCAGACGCGGGUCCAUCCUGUACCACCGGAGUUUUUCACACUGUACCAUGCGGUACUGUGCGCUUAUGCGGUAUUAGCAGUCAUUUCUAACUGUUAUCCCCCUGUACAGGGCAGGUUACCCACGCGUUACUCACCCGUCCGCCGCUAGAACAUACAUCUUCUCUUCCAUCCGAAAACUUCCGAUCCGUCGCAUGUCCCCGCUCGACUUGCAUGUGUUAGGCACGCCGCCAGCGUUCGUCCUGAGCCAUGAUCAAACUACU